rnacentral:tRNA from 2 species
GCGGGUGUAGUUCAGUGGUAGAACGCUAGCUUCCCAAGCUCGAUAUGCGGGUUCGAUUCCCGUCACCCGCUCCA